AUUGAACGCUGGCGGCAGGCCUAACACAUGCAAGUCGAGCGGAUGAAGGGAGCUUGCUCCUGGAUUCAGCGGCGGACGGGUGAGUAAUGCCUAGGAAUCUGCCUGGUAUUGGGGGAUAACGUCCGGAAACGGGCGCUAAUACCGCAUACGUCCUGAGGGAGAAAGUGGGGGAUCUUCGGACCUCACGCGAUCAGAUGAGCCUAGGUCGGAUUAGCUAGUUGGUGGGGUAAAGGCCUACCAAGGCGACGAUCCGUAACUGGUCUGAGAGGAUGAUCAGUCACACUGGAACUGAGACACGGUCCAGACUCCUACGGGAGGCAGCAGUGGGGAAUAUUGGACAAUGGGCGAAAGCCUGAUCCAGCAAUGCCGCGUGUGUGAAGAAGGUCUUCGGAUUGUAAAGCACUUUAAGUUGGGAGGAAGGGCAGUAAGUUAAUACCUUGCCGUUUUGACGUUACCAACAGAAUAAGCACCGGCUAACUUCGUG
rnacentral:rRNA from 1 species